rnacentral:rRNA from 1 species
UACAGAGGUCCCAAGCGUUGUUCGGAUUCAUUGGGCGUAAAGGGUGCAUAGGCGGCGCGGUAAGUCGGGUGUGAAAUCUCGGGGCUUAACUCCGAAACUGCAUUCGAUACUGCCGUGCUUGAGGACUGGAGAGGAGACUGGAAUUUACGGUGUAGCGGUGAAAUGCGCAGAUAUCGGGAGGAACACCGGUGGCGAAGGCGGUUCUCUGGGCCUUACCUGACGCUGAGGAGCGAAAGCGUGGGGAGCGAACAGG